AUUGAACGCUGGCGGCAGGCCUAACACAUGCAAGUCGAGCGGAUGAAGGGAGCUUGCUCCUGGAUUCAGCGGCGGACGGGUGAGUAAUGCCUAGGAAUCUGCCUGGUAGUGGGGGAUAACGUCCGGAAACGGGCGCUAAUACCGCAUACGUCCUGAGGGAGAAAGUGGGGGAUCUUCGGACCUCACGCUAUCAGAUGAGCCUAGGUCGGAUUAGCUAGUUGGUGGGGUAAAGGCCUACCAAGGCGACGAUCCGUAACUGGUCUGAGAGGAUGAUCAGUCAAACUGGAACUGAGACACGGUCCAAACCCCUACGGGAAGCAGCAGUGGGGAAUAUUGGACAAUGGGCGAAAGCCUGAUCCAGCCAUGCCGCGUGUGUGAAGAAGGUCCUCCGAUUAGAAAGGCCUUUUAGUUUGGAGGAAGGGCAGUAAGUUAAUAACUUGCUUUUUUGACGGUACCAACAAAAUAAGCCCCGGCUAACUUCGUG
rnacentral:rRNA from 1 species